rnacentral:tRNA from 1 species
GCUAUGAAGGCUGAGUAGUGAAGGCAUUAGACUUGAAAUCCAAUAGGGGUUUCUUGUGCAGGUUCAAAUCCUGCUCACUGCA